ACGGAGGGUGCAAGCGUUAUCCGGAUUUACUGGGUUUAAAGGGUGCGCAGGCGGGAGAUUAAGUCAGAGGUGAAAGCCCCGAGCUCAACUUGGGAAAUGCCUUUGAAACUGAUCUUCUUGAAUAUAGUUGAGGUAGGCGGAAUACAACAUGUAGCGGUGAAAUGCAUAGAUAUGUUGUAGAACACCAAUUGCGAAGGCAGCUUACUAAACUAUUAUUGACGCUGAGGCACGAAAGCGUGGGGAGCGAACAGG
rnacentral:rRNA from 1 species